rnacentral:rRNA from 1 species
GACAGAGGAUGCAAGCGUUAUCCGGAAUGAUUGGGCGUAAAGCGUCUGUAGGUGGCUUUUUAAGUCCGCCGUCAAACCCCAGGGCUCAACCCUGGACAGGCGGUGGAAACUACCAACGCUGGAGUACGGUAGGGGUAAAGGGAAUUUCCGGUGGAGCGGUGAAAUGCGUAGAGAUCGGAAAGAACACCAACGGCGAAAGCACUCUGCUGGGCCGACACUGACACUGAGAGACGAAAGCUAGGGGAGCGAAUGGG